GUGUGUGUGUCGCGCCCGUCCCCGCGCCGCCGCCACCCCGUCCCGCGCCCGUUCCCGCGCCGCCGCCACCCCGUCCCGCGCCCGUUUCCGCGCCGCCGCCCCGUCGUCCGCGCCGCGCCCCGUCCGCGUCAUGCUGGUGAGUAACGAGAUAUAAGGAAAGAAAGAAAAAACAUGGAUCUUGCAAAGUCUUUAUUUAUUCAUGAAAUAUUUGUUAAACAUUUUGUUGCAUAGUUUGUCAUUAUUGUGAAAAUCUUUGUUAAAUAACUUUAGAAAAUCAUCAACAGAAUUGCCUAAUGCGUAGUUUAAAAGAAAUAAAGUACAGUAUUUGCCACAGACGGUUGAAGAAAAAUCUUGAAUUUGAGAAAUAUUGUAAGACCACAUCAUAGCAUUUUUUCUAAGAAAUUUUAAAAUAUUCGGAGGCGGCUGAUUUCCAAAACUAUCAAAGAAGUAUGCGAAACCAAAUUUAUCAAUGUAAACAGCCAUCCAAUGACUACCCGGGAGGUAAUCAGGGUCUCUGUUGAUAAUAACCAUAGAGGGUCUGGUGAUUAGGACAGGUAGAGUGUUAUACGCAGAAACAAGAACGUGGUGUCUUUUCUUCCGAGAGAUCAUCUCCAGACACGUUUUGAGUUGUAAAGUAUUCAUUGUACCAACUAGCCAAGUUUUGUACGUUUUGAACAGCGCACACCGAAUCGCUGAUUAUAUGAUUCACACAACAAUUCGUAUCAAAAUGUUCUCUCAAGUAACGAAGCGAUGGACACUCUAAAUCUUCAAUGUUUACAAUUUGACUUUUUGGUAAACGUUUCAAAAGUAGACGCUUCUUAUCUAUUCCUUUCACGUAUAUACACUUUGAAUUUUUCGUAGUUUCAUUCAAUAUUUCAGACAACUUUUCGUAGUCGUAAUUACCGCAGUUCCAAGAAAGCCCGUGAAAGUUAUUCGUCAACCAAUCGGCUUGCUUCUGAUAACGAUGCGGUAAGGUUGAAAGAUCAUCGGGUGGUUUAAACAAAAAGAUGUCUGGUGCGCUUUUGUUCGUAUUAAAUACAGCUAAUUCUUUUAUGGUUAAAGUUUCGGUACAAUUACCGUAAUUGAACCCUUGAAAAUCCACAAACACAACCAUUUCGGAUGACGGGUAAAAUGAAAGUAGCAAAUUUUUCAUUUGUAAUAGCAAUUUAUUUAUCACUUAUAUAAAUUUAUCAACUACUAUAAUCUACAAUUACAUUACGUUUUUUAUCAAUUUCUAUUACACUAUCAAAUUCACCAUACACUAAACAAUUGACAGUUUCUGUAAGAGCAGUGUUAAAACCAACUUCUAUUCGUAAACUUCCGUUCUUUAUCAAAUUCCAUGAAAGAGCAUUAUGCGAUGAUAAGUCAGGUGUCAAAUCAAAAACAGCUAUUGAAUAUCCAUCAGCAUAAUUAUCACGUGAAAUCCCAUUUCCAGUGUUUAGAAAAUGUAUACCAGUACCAGAAAAUAAUGUGUGGUACAUUGAAACAAAUUUCUUAUUUGGACCGAUAAAUGUAGGUUGUAAGGGUUUACUAGGAAUUUGGUUACCAUCCACGUACAAGGAUAGAUAGUUUAAACCAAAGUUUUCGAAAUUAAAUGGAUUUAAGGAAUAAUCACCGUUAAAUGCUUUAUUUGUCACAAAGCACAAUGCACAUCUUUUUGGAAGUUGGCCCAAAUAAACAUUAUCCAAUGAUUUUCCUUGUACUCCUUGCGGUAUAGUCAAAACCUUUAAUUCUGUUCGCGUAAUUGGAUAUUUUGCAGUUGAAAGCUCUAAAGCCUUUGCAUGCGCAAGUAAUACGCUUGGAUUUAUCCGAUUUCUUCUAAUCAUUAGAGUUGCAUCAGUAAUUUGAAUUUUUCCAUUAAGAUUAUUUGAUGACAUCAAUGCAAAACUAUCACGAGAACGUACAAAUUUUAAUCUCAUUUCUACACCGUUGAUUAAAAAUUUUUCUUGAUUAAAUAUAUCACAAUUUAAGUGACCAAUAAGAUCGACUUCUUUACUCGUCGACGUUAGUUUGAGUCUAUUGGCGAAUCCACUGUUCUCAUUGGUUACUACAUUCAUUUUGCCUGCCGUAUCGGCGUACCAUAAUCCACAAGUUAAAUGGGAAUUCUUCGCCCCUGAGUCAUAAUUUAAAAGUGUCUCCAAAUAACAUUUAUAAGCGUAUGUAUUAUUUGGUGGUGAAAUCAGUUUUUGAUUUAGGUAUACAUCAACUUGACUAAACAUUGAGUGGAGAAUAUUAUUAACUGGACCAAUUGUAUCUUCAGCGGUAUAAUUACUACCGUCAUCUUUGCAUAUUUUAAUACAAAGUGAAAGUAAAGUUUGCGAUAAAUCUAUAUAGUCUUCACCACCUGGUAUUACAAAUUCUAAAGGACUAUUUUCAGAUAUACUAGAUACAGUUUUGUAAUGAACCCAUUGACCGCUUUCGAUGCUUGUUUGAGUUGGCGGUAAAGCAAAAAGAUCCAAUUCACUUUUCGCGCACUCACAACUAUGAGGAUGUAAAAACGACAUUCUAGCUAAAGAUAUCUUGAUGUUUAAUAACUGAACUCGUUUUACACUUCUUUGCAGAACGACGUGAAGAACUAUUCUGACUUUUAUUUUGUACUAGCCUUCUUUUUAUAGAUCCAGAUCCUACCAAGUUGUCUAAUUUAUCUUGAGCUUUUCGUUUCAAAUUUUCAACUGACUCAUUUACACGUGUCUUGAAUGCAUCCUUUACAGGCACCUCAUUAACAAUGUCGCCAAGAAAAUUUGAACCAGUGCGUAGUGUUUCCUUACCAAUUGUUUUAACACCACUCUUUAUUAACGGCAUUACCGUACGAAAAAGUCCCCGUAAAAAACUACCAAUACCAUAACCCUUUUGGUAACUAAUUCCUUUGUAAAUAGCACCUACACCUGAACCAGCUUGAUUGAUGUAGUAAUCGUGAUAAUGACAUGAAGGCAUUACGAAAUUUUUUUAAAAUGAAGUUUAACGCACACUGUUCCAAACUGAAAUGGCACUUUCUCACCAGUUGCACUUCUUAUAUCAAUUUCAAUGUUUUCAAAUUCCCUUUUCAACAGAGGCACGUAAUGCGGAUGCGAAAAUAAUUGCGUAUGAUGUGUACCGUAAAUGUAGUGUUUAUUAUCGAUAACAACGAUUCGAAUUACUUUUGCCAUUAUAUCGCCCACCAAUUGUGGUUCAAUUAUAUCACUGUAUACGAAAAGUUGUGAAGGCAAACCCAACAUAAUGUUUGCUGGAUGUGUUGAAGUUUUACUCAGUACAUUUGUAUCCGGUUGAAAACCUAAUUGUAGACUUAAUGUCGGUGAAAAUGAUAGACUUGUCAGAUAUUUGCUACUGCUUGUUACAGUUACUCUUUUUGAACCAUCAUUUAAUCUGAACUCAACAUUAUCUUUUACUAAAACUCUUACCGAGUUUAGAGCAUCCACAAUAGAUUCGAUCGUUUCGUAGUUACCAGCUUCAAGCUUAGUCUUAUAUUUCGUCAUAAUUACAUCGUGUUCAAAUGUGAUCGUUUUCAUUUUAAGAUCGCGCAUGAAUUCUUUCGAAGACUUGUAUUUCCUUCUUCGAACCUGAUCAUCGAUCCAUGUCGCAAAACGGGGAUCUUUAAACAAUAUGUCAAUGGCUUUUUCACCUUUUUGCAUAAUCGCCGAUAAACUAAAUUCAAAAGAGCAGUAAAUAAUAUUUUCACCACUGUUGAUGGUUAAGAAGGAACACGGAUACUGUAUUUCCGAAAGUCCCACACACCAUUCACCAUCCAAAUGAACAGUUUUUGGAAGUUGUGUGCAAAAGUGCGUUGUUGUAUUUUCGGGAAAGUAAUUGGUUGAGCUGUUUGAUACCAAAGUUAAAUAAAAUUCGUUAUUCAUAUCGAUGUAAGGGAACUGCACGGAAUCCACGAGUUAAACUUUGAAGGAUAAUUUUUCCACUGCACAAAAAUUUCACAUUUACCUCUUUUAUAUUGCUUCUUCAAUACUUUUUCAAUGUGAAAUGUACUCUGGGGGUCGUACGUUACGCGCUGUAAUUCGGGGUGAUAGAAGACGCCCUCUAUUGGUUCAUCCAUUAAAUCGGAAAUUUUGUACACAACGGGUUGUCUCAUUAUAACAUCAGUUAUUUUGAAUAUUUCACCGCUCCAAUUACUCAUGUAGCCUUUUUCAAAUACGUGCUUGUACUUGGUGAUUCUGACGUAAUCUCCAACUUUGUACACAUUUUCGAGUUUGAUCGUUUUAAUAUUCUUCUUUCUCGUACUCAUAAUGUUAUCGUAUACUUGCGCAACGUUGUCAGGAUUUACCUCGUUAGGAGCCAUUUUAAUAGUACGAUGAUAAGAAUUAUUGUAAGAGUGCAUGAAUUCGGGUAAUACAUCAAUGUAUUGCAUAUUAUUUGCAAACGUAAAAUAUUUAUGCAUUUUUGUUUUUAAAGUUUUAUUGAACCUUUCUACCACAGCAGCUUUUACAUCAGGAUUAUUUGUUACAUAAUAAUUUAUAUCAUAUUGUUUAAACAAUUUUUGGACAUUUUUCGCUAGAAAUUCUUUUCCCUUGUCAGUCUGAAGAUUAACCGGAACACGCUCAUCAAAUAUUUCUUUAAAAGCUGCAGCCACUUCAUUUCCCGUCUUUGUGUAUAAAGGUUUAACCCAUGCAAACUUGGAAAAUACAUCGAUGACAGUUAAUAGGUAAUUUACACCUCGAUUAUGUUUUGCGAUGUUUCUCAUAUCUAUUAAAUCAGCUUGAAAUAAAUCGUCUAUGUUGGUUACAUGAUAACUAUUUCUAGGAAAUCGACGACGAACUUGCUUAUGUAAUGUAUAAGAUUCCACACCUUCUAGCCAUUUAUUAAUUUUUUUCUUAUGUAUAUUUGUAAACUUAGCUAAGUUGUUAGGACUCGAAAAACCAAGAGGGUCACGAGGUAUAAAAUAUCUUUCCUUUAUUUCAUCCAUUUUUGUCUACUUGCUUUCAUACGGCGACCAAGGAACUCUCAAGCGUUUUUGUUUUCUUGAUGACGAUCGCAUUGAUUUCUUCGUUAUUUGACUAUCCUCUUCUUCUUCUUCUUCUUCUUCUGUGUCAAACUUUGACGACGAUAUUGGUUUUACUUUCACUUCGUUUUUUACUUCUUGCUUUUCAGCACCUUGUUCAUUUAUAUAUUUCAAACGUUUUGGAUUAAUUAUAAGAGUACGUGGAACGUUUAUUUUAUACAAAAUUUCCGCAAAAUUUUUCCAUCCGACAGGCUCGGCAUUUAACUUAUUACUACUCUUCAUAACAUCAGUGAUUAGAUCAAAUAUAUUGGAACCAGGAAUUGUGUUUCCAUCGUAGAUAACGUUUCCGGUUUCAUUCCAUGCAACUCCAUUGUGUGUUAAAUUGUUUAACAAAGCAUUCGCUUUAACUUGUAAGGGUCUUGGUAGGGAACUCAAAAUGUUUCGAGUAAUUCGUUCAGAUUGUUCUAAUUGAUUUUCUUUAGAAUAAAUCACAGGUAUGGUAACAGGUUCACGAGAACGACUUAUCAUUUUUAGAUAUCUUUGAAGCACUUGAUUAUACAAAAUCCAUUUUUCAUUAUCAUCAAUGUUUUUCGUAUCUAUGAUUCUUUUCAUUUCAUGAUCUAAAUCAUUUAGGGUGUUUGGCUGAGUGCUUUUGUUAUUAUGCAAACGUUCAAGUUCGGAUGAAUCAAUGAGUACCAUUUUUUUCGUAUGUUCCAUUAUUUAUUAAAUAAAUGACCCAACACACCCGAAAUUAUUGGAGCCAACAACAAUGGUAUGUAUGCAUAAGAAGGUUCUUCAUCAGGUAGAAUAUUUGUUCGAAUACGGAAUUCAUCUGGAGUAUCUUGUUUUAAAUCAAUCAACAAAUAACCAUGCGGUCUCAUUGUGGCAUCCUUAUAAGCUUCCUGGAUAAAUUUUAUAUUUUCAGGAAAAAUCUGUCUAGCUAAGAAAUUAAUUUGAGCUUUAUCACGAGGAUUUUUAAAAUAAACGAUAUAGUUCGCAUUCAAAGAAAUAUCUCUCUGUCCUUUUCCUUGAUGAAACAAAUUUUGCGUAAUGUAGAAGACACUAAGGUUUCGAUGAUGACUUCCCUUAGUGAAAAUAUCGACCACACUGCCAUUAGUCUCUCUCAUCAGAUCAUCCAAAAUUAUCAAUGUCGCUUCUGUACCAUCAAAAUCAUUCAUAUCAGGAACGCCUUGACGAAAUUCAAGAUUACUAUUAUUGAUUACAUUAGUUUGAUACAACGGUUGCCACUCGUCAUAAAACCAAAGCACUCGUUCAAAUUUUUUAUCACAGACCGAAUUUAUGUGGUUCAAAAAUCGUAUAAUAAAGUGCGUUUUUCCGCAAGCAGUUGGACCAGCUAUAAUUGCUGUAAACGGAGAUUUGAAUCGUAAGUCCAUUCUAUUUCAAAUAACUUUCAUUAUUCAACACCAAACCAAUAAUGAUAACUUUUGCUACGCGGCGGAAUAUUUAAAGAAAACAGAGUAUACAUUUUAUUUAAUUAUUUAUUAUCACAGACAGUUAUAAUCAUUAUUUUCCCUAUAAUAUUGUAUUCUAUUUUCGACAGCAGUUUUUACAUUCACAGGCAGUUUCAAAACUAUCUCAUACAAGGUUGCAUUUUGUUCAUACCGAUUCUUAAUAAUAUCAUACAAUUUUUGAGAUAAAUUUUUACAUCCAUUCUCCAUAACAUCAAGCGCAACAUUAUUUAUAAAACUAUCGUAACAUGGAUAGAAUUUAUAUUGAAUUCUUCUUGCAUGAAGCAGAUUCAAUAAAUGCUCGCCCAUAUUUACGACAGUUUUAAUUGUGUUCAAUGAUAAAUAAAUGCCCUUGUACACGCUGGGUUGACUAGGUAUAAAUUGAAGAGUAUUAUAUCUACAAACCACCACGACGUAGCCACUUAGCAUACACAACAUCUGACCUUCUGGAACACUAAUUUCUUCUACUUCUUCGUCCUCCUCUCUUGAUUCAAAGAUCUUGCUCAUUUCUUUUAAAAACUCUUCAAAGGUUUCAAUAGAAAAACUUAUCGCCGAUGUUAAUUCUGGAUUAUGUAUCUUCAACAACGGCACAAAAUCAUGGAGUGGUUUUACUCCAAUCGAUAAAAGUUUGCUACCAGACUUAGUUAUAGGAUACACCACUUCAUGAAUUAAACGAAACUUCUCAUUGAUCACCAUCCGAGCCGUUCUCUCAGCUUCAUCUUUCUCACUUCUCUCAGCUUCAUUUUUCUCGAUGUUGUCGGCCAUUUCCAUCAACGAUCGCUCCAACACAGGAUCCGACCAUUCAGCUGGUGUUAUGAUGUCUUCUUCAGCGUGGAUAGGCUGAGGCGACUUGGGGGAUGCAGCUUGGCUAAGACCUAUUUCAGAUACUCUCGCUAAUUCUAUGGAUUGCGAUGGUGGUGGUGGUGGUGGUGAAGCAGCUGGAAAUGCUGACAAAGACGACUUCGGAACCGAUGGAACUUGCGAAGCACUAAUUUCCUCUUCUUCUACACAUCCACCAUCACCUGGGGCUUUAAAACGCUUCGGAGAUGAUUUUUUCAAUGGCAUAGAAGAUACACGUUUUCCAGGCAUCUAACACAAAUUCACAACAGUUAAUAAAUAUUUAAAAUAAUUUCUUAAAAAACUUACCUUAAUUUCACAAUACACCAAGACGUCUUCUUCAAGAACAAACACGAGAACAACACUGAAUAUUUUCCUAAAUUUUCUUUGGUCUUAUAUAUUGUAUGACAUAUAGCAAAAUUGUAGCGGCCAAAGUGUAGCGGUCAUUAAGAGAAAGUUGCAGCGGUCAUUAGAUAAUGACCUCAUUAGCACUAAUUGUUCGCUUAUACUACUCGUGUUUGUUUGUGGUCGUGGCGAUUUAGUUUUUCAGUUCUACUUGUAAAUUGUUUUUAUUAACAAAGAAGUAGAUAAUGAGGUCAGUUACAACGUAUACGUAUUAUAAUGUCGCUUAUUACGACGCAAGAAUAUUAUCAAGCUAGUUUCACCGGUAUUAAAAUUAGAAACAAUGUCGACUUUUCCCAGUUUAUCGGAAGUGUUUUUCUAUAGUUUUAUGAUUUUCUAUUUCAAGAGUUUAGUAAUUCUCGUAAAUAUUGGAAUUAUGUUGUCUUUGGCGUAAUUCGAAUUUACAUAAUUCGCGAGUACAUAAUCGUGAUUGUAAUGGAAGGUUGUUAAAUCACCGUUUGUUGUUUUAUAACUACAGAAAGAAAAUAUUUUUAUUAGUGAUUUUAUUUACAAAUUGAAUUGUUUUACGCAGGUGGAAUAAUUUUAAUUAUUAGGGAAUUAGAUUCGAACUCAUCAAUCAUUGUCUGACAGGCUAAAAUUAAAUAUUUGGCACUUUAAAUAACGAUGUUUCAACCAACCAAACAACUUUCUCCUCCUUCCUUACCAAAUAUUUAAUUUUCUAAUAGAGUAAUCAAUUUUUUCGAACAGUAACUAAAAACUUGCACCUGUCAUUGUUUACAAAUCGACGUAUAAAUAAAGAAUUUUGUAGUCAAACGCAGGUAAUGAUAUAAUUUAUCGGUUUUCACAUUUACGGCAGUUUAAAAGUAGUUUAAUCGUUUUAUGAAGUUGUAAACAGACAGUUAGUAGGGUAAUAAAAACGUUCAGCUUCACGAUCCACUAGUCUGGUGUGUCAAUUUUUUUUUUUUUCGCUAAUAACGUCUCAAAUAUUAGUGUUUUUUUCGUACGAAAGAAAAUUAAUCAAAAUUGGAACACAACGGCAACGUGUGUCCCGUACCACGUUUCUUCGUACGAUCUAGUUGGCGCGCGUUUCCCCUUUCUCCAAGUGACGUCACAUGACGUCAUAACAAACGUCACGUAAUUGUUGGGGGCUCCUCCUUCGCGGUUAGCGCGCGCAUACACACACAUAAAGUGGAGUCCCCCAUCUAGCACACAUCUGUCCCGAAAGAAGAGAGAAAGGUCAAUGAUUUUACCGGCCGGUGGAGCACUCGCGGCAACGUCGCAAGCUGGAAAAUCGCGCGAAAAUUAACCAAUUUUCCAAUUUGAAUGCCUGGUUGAUGUUACUAUCGAUAUUCAACUUGCUUUCAUAUUUUCCAAGGGUUCCUGUUUGUUGUCCGAAUGUAUUGAAAUUUUGCAUACUUACGUAAUCUGCGUGACGGUGCACUUUUAUUAGUUAAUUACCCCAUAAAUGGGGUGUUAAAGGUGAAAACGGGAUUUGAUGUUCUUUUGUUUGCUGCGCCAUCUGCGAUCGCGGCCCAGUCCGGCCCUGACCUUUUGCGACAUGACCGAUAAGCCGAUUAUUAUCGAUUUCGGACGGUUGCUUAUUCAUCGAUUUGGCACAGGUUUCCUGUGUUUUUUAUGUAGAUAAUGAUAAUCUCUCAUUAUGAAUAUUUAUGUUUGCGGGGGAAAAGUUGAGGUAGAGCAGUGGCGCGCACGAGCAACAUACAUGUAUUUUUUUCUAAUUCCACAAUCUGCAAUUCAAAAAGCUCUCUUCUAAUGAUCGUGGAGUGGAUGCCGGCCCAGGUAGCAACGAUGCAUAUACACAGGUUCAUCGAACCGGUCGGACUCUCUACUACAGCAUGUCGUUCGUAUACGUGGUGCACCGGUUAUUUAGGACGUCGUCUACACGUUGUGAACAUUUGUCGGAUGAAUUUUGAAAAAACCGUUUGAAGGAAUGAGUUGUUAAUUUUUUGGUGCAGCUAAAAAUAAAUAAAACAUUUUUGUACAUGAAAUACGACCGGAACCGUGGUCAUUGUUUGGCUAAAACGUGUCCGUUUAUCAAACGCCGUCUCCAUUUUUGUCGCCUUAUUCUCGAAUAGAAGUCAUUGUAGACCGGUGCUCGGUGCAACAAAAGAUUCAGCUGAGCAAAGGAAUGUGAUAAGGUAGUGUUCCGUGGCAAGUUUUCUUCUUGUUGUCUGAAAGUCCUGACGGAUUUCACGAACAAGUCGACCUCAAAAACCUGACAUUCUUUUACGUUAAGUAAGGUCCAGGUUCCAGGACAGUUUGUAUUUUCACUUAGAUAGCAACAAAUUUUAUGUAAUGCCAGUGAUUGUGGAAGGAAGUAGUACACAGUAGAGAAAACGUUGUUACGGUACUUCCUCGGCCAGAUUCGGUGCCAAUUGAUUAGUUCUGGUGUUUUUUCCUCUUAAGCGAACAGUUUUCAAUGUUAUUCAUUCAAUCAACAGGUGAUGAUAACUCGGAAAAGUCAAUCUGUUAUUGACUUUUGUUACUUAAACAAACCGUGACGAAUUUAAGGAAAAAGUCGCGUCACGUGCCAGAGCGCAGAAAAUUGGUUUAAAUAGCAACGUGUGACGCAAUUCGCGAUACCGAUCGUCGGUUUUUUGAUAAAAGAGUUGAAGGAAAAGGGUCGUUGGCGUUGGUGGCGGCGGCGGCGGCGGCGACGCAUCCACCCCCUCUUUUACACAGGGAGGCAUCGAUUGGUGCGGGGUGUCGCGUGGGAAGCGGUAUCGGGCACAUGUGCACCGCAUCGUCGUCGAUCAACGAGCCGAACCCACGUGUCCGAACGAUUUUACACCGUUGCCACGGUGGGCCACACAGUGGUGGCGAGAGUGGAGGGUCGACAAUUAUUGAGUUUUGUACCAUUUAACAAAAAAAAUAUGGGCUAAAAGAGAAAAAAAAAUUGGAAUUGAAACAGAAAUCGGAAAAGUAAAUUGUGAUGUUUUCUCCGAUUUUAUAAAAAAAAACGUCUACUCUUUGAAAUAAAACUUGGACAAACAUUAAAAAACCAUAAAUAAUUGAAGAGUUGUUGAGUUUUUUUGUCCAAAAUCAGUGUUUUCUAGCCGGUGGUUCGCGAUGUGUAUUGUAAUAAAAUUUUUGAAUUUGGUAUUUAUUUGGUGUUGGAAAUAUGUGUAGCAUAUUUUCCAAACAAUUUGUGAAAAAUUAUUAUGUGUAAAUUAUUUUGAAUAAAUAAUAUGUAGUGUGUGUUUUAUUAAAAAAAAAAAAACGCCAAAAUUUUAUUAGUGAGAAGUGCGCUCUAAAGUGUUCGUCAUUUGAAUCUCCUUCUGGACCUCUUCGGAUGUAAUCACCAGGACCUCUCUUGGUGGAACAACUUCAGGACUUCUUCUGAAGGAUUGUGUUCUCCAAGAGAAAAAGUCGACGAGACUUUUUCUUCUCGAGUUCACCUGCAGACGACGUCUUCUCCAAGGGUUAGGAUUCACUAGGUCCAGGAUUUGUUUGAAGAAUUUGUUUAUAUUACCUUUUGUGUUGUUACUGUUAUAAUUAUUGUUACUGAAUAAAUUUUUCUUUUCAAUCA